UGCCACUGCAACAACGCCAAGAGCAAGAGUAGGUCCACCAUCUGUGACAGUGUUCCAUGCAAAGCUUUGGCCAAUGUUGGUCGGAUUGUUGGGUAAUGUUACUGGAUCUUGCUAGGUGGUGUGUCAGCAGCGUACAGUAAGGUAACCUACGAGUCUGCUAGAUUACACAUUAAGAAGAAUUUGAUCAUGAGUUGGUGUGUGAAAUCGUUGUCACUAAUUUGUCAACAAAUUAAGAACCCACAACUGACGUGUGUACGUAAUCGCUAUCACGCAGAAAAGAUAGCAAAAGGACCUCUUCUGCGACGGUAUGGAUAUAGAGACAGAAUUCUUCAAAGUGGAACUUUACCGCAUGUUGAUGGACCACGGUUACCCAUGCCAGUGUACAGACCAAAAAAUGCAUGGUGCGAGAAGCGUGCAUUGUUUGGGCAGAAUGAUUAUAUAGACAUUCUUGGGAAUGGAGAUCUUCAUCCAACCAGGAUCAUGUACAAUGUACAGUCAUGGCUACGCGGUGU